rnacentral:tRNA from 1 species
GUGCCUAUAGUGUAGUGGUAACACAGCUCCCUGUGGCGGAGUUAUCUCGGGUUCAAAUCCCGAUAGGCACC